UACAGAGACUGCAAGCGUUAUCCGGAUUUACUGGGCGUAAAGGGUGUGCAGGCGGGCUGUUAAGUGGUGUAUGAAAUAUCCCGGCUCAACCGGGAAGGGUUAUGCCAGACUGGCAGUCUAGAGAGCGAGAGAGGGACGUGGAAUUCCGGGUGUAGUGGUGAAAUGCGUAGAGAUCCGGAGGAACCCCAGAGGCGAAGGCGGCGUCCUGGCUCGCAUCUGACGCUCAGACACGACAGCAUGGGGAGCGAACGGG
rnacentral:rRNA from 1 species